rnacentral:rRNA from 1 species
GUGUCAGCAGCCGCGGUAAGACGAACCGUGCGAACGUUGUUCGGAAUCACUGGGCUUAAAGGGCGCGUAGGCGGGCCGCCAAGUCCGCGGUGAAAUCCCCCGGCUCAACCGGGGAACUGCCGCGGAUACUGGAGGUCUCGAGGGGGGUAGGGGCAUGCGGAACUGCGGGUGGAGCGGUGAAAUGCGUUGAUAUCCGCAGGAACUCCGGUGGCGAAGGCGGCGUGCUGGACCCUUUCUGACGCUGAGGCGCGAAAGCCAGGGGAGCGAACGGGAUUAGAUACCCCGGUAGUCCUGGCCCUAAACGAUGGGAACUAGGUUGUAGGCUAGACAUGGGCUUACAGCCGAAGCAAAAGUGCUAAGUUCCCCGCCUGGGGAGUAUGGUCGCAAGGCUGAA